UGAGGAAUAUUGGUCAAUGGGCGAGAGCCUGAACCAGCCAAGUCGCGUGAAGGAUGAAGGUUCUAUGGAUUGUAAACUUCUUUUGUCCGAGGGUAAAAAGGCUACUGUAGCUUCUUGCAAGUAUCGGACGAAUAAGCAUCGGCUAACUCCGUGCCAGCAGCCGCGGUAAUACGGAGGAUGCGAGCGUUAUCCGGAUUUAUUGGGUUUAAAGGGUGCGUAGGUGGUUUGUUAAGUUUGUGGUGAAAGCGUGCGGCUCAACCGUACCAAGCCAUGAAAACUGGCGAACUUGAGUGCAAACGAGGUAGGCGGAAUUCGUCGUGUAGCGGUGAAAUGCUUAGAUAUGACGAAGAACUCCGAUUGCGAAGGCAGCCUGCUGUAGCGCAACUGACGCUGAAGCUCGAAAGCGUGGGUAUCGAACAGGAUUAGAUACCCUGGUAGU
rnacentral:rRNA from 1 species